rfam:Rattus norvegicus chromosome 11, whole genome shotgun sequence.
GUAGGGAUGGCUCAGUGGUUAAGAGCUCUGACUGUUCUUCCAGAGGUCCUGAGUUCAAUUCCCAGUAACCACA